AGACUUUGAUUAUGGCUCAGAACGAACGCUGGCGGCAGGCCUAACACAUGCAAGUCGAGCGCGCCCUUCGGGGUGAGCGGCGGACGGGUGAGUAACGCGUGGGAACGUGCCCUUUGCUGCGGAAUAGCCACUGGAAACGGUGAGUAAUACCGCAUGAGCCCUUCGGGGGAAAGAUUUAUCGGCAAAGGAUCGGCCCGCGUUGGAUUAGGUAGUUGGUGGGGUAAUGGCCUACCAAGCCGACGAUCCAUAGCUGGUUUUAGAGGAUGAUCAGCCACACUGGGACUGAGACACGGCCCAGACUCCUACGGGAGGCAGCAGUGGGGAAUCUUAGACAAUGGGCGCAAGCCUGAUCUAGCCAUGCCGCGUGAGUGACGAAGGCCCCUAGGGUCGUAAAGCUCUUUCGCCUGUGAUGAUAAUGACAGUAGCAGGUAAAGAAACCCCGGCUAACUCCGUGCCAGCAGCCGCGGUAAUACGGAGGGGGUUAGCG
rnacentral:rRNA from 1 species